rnacentral:lncRNA from 1 species
AAACAGAUUUCCUGUUAUCUCUCAGCUCAUCCAAAACUCAAGCAUGAGACUCAAGAAAGGCAAAGAACGCUCUUUGGCGGAGUAGAGCAAAUAAAGCUAAUAAUAAUAAAAAAUAAAAUUUCCUCUACAGUUUAUGAGUGUGUUACCUCUAUCAGUAGUGUGUGGAGGACACACAGACAGGAAGCAGUACAGGAAGUUGAAAACAGAGAGGAGCACCUCAGAGUCACUGGAGUCCAGCUUUCCUACAAGAUUACUGAUUAAACACACACACGCACACACACACACACACACACACACACACACACACACACACACACCUGUCACACACACACACUCAGCGAGCACAGUCUGUCACACACAAGUCUGUCACACACACACACUCAGUGAGCACAGUCUGGCUGUCACACACACACACUCAGCGAGCACAGUCUGUCACACACAAGUCUGUCACACACACACACUCAGUGAGCACAGUCUGGCUGUCACACACACACACUCAGCGAGCACAGUCUGUCACACACAAGUCUGUCACACACACACACUCAGUGAGCACAGUCUGGCUGUCACACACACACACUCAGCGAGCACAGUCUGUCACACACAAGUCUGUCACACACACACACUCAGUGAGCACAGUCUGGCUGUCACACACACACACUCAGCGAGCACAGUCUGUCACACACAAGUCUGUCACACACACACACUCAGUGAGCACAGUCUGGCUGUCACACACACACACUCAGCGAGCACAGUCUGUCACACACAAGUCUGUCACACACACACACUCAGUGAGCACAGUCUGGCUGUCACACACACACACUCAGCGAGCACAGUCUGUCACACACAAGUCUGUCACACACACACACUCAGUGAGCACAGUCUGGCUGUCACACACACACACUCAGCGAGCACAGUCUGUCACACACAAGUCUGUCACACACACACACUCAGUGAGCACAGUCUGGCUGUCACACACACACACUCAGCGAGCACAGUCUGUCACACACAAGUCUGUCACACACACACACUCAGUGAGCACAGUCUGGCUGUCACACACACACACUCAGCGAGCACAGUCUGUCACACACAAGUCUGUCACACACACACACUCAGUGAGCACAGUCUGGCUGUCACACACACACACUCAGCGAGCACAGUCUGUCACACACAAGUCUGUCACACACACACACUCAGUGAGCACAGUCUGGCUGUCACACACACACACUCAGCGAGCACAGUCUGUCACACACAAGUCUGUCACACACACACACUCAGUGAGCACAGUCUGGCUGUCACACACACACACUCAGCGAGCACAGUCUGUCACACACAAGUCUGUCACACACACACACUCAGUGAGCACAGUCUGGCUGUCACACACACACACUCAGCGAGCACAGUUUGUCACACACACACACACUCAGUGAGCACACACACACACACACACACACACACUCAGCGAGCACAGUCUGUCACACACACACACUCAGUGAGCACAGUCUGUCACACACACACACUCAGUGAGCUUACAUACACACACACACACACACACACACAAGAGAAUCAGUAACACAUGUGUCUAAACUGCACCAAUAACACAUAAAGACCAAAAUCAUUUGCCAUUAGAGUAACACAAAAUUCACAAAAGCCCACGACCUGGCUGUGACCUUUGACCUCUGAGCCGUGGGUCAGGUCUUACCGAGCUUCCUGGAGAAGGAGGUCAUGUGAUCAGGACACAGAGAAAACUGACGUGACAGAGCCGAGAGGAAGAGCUGCAGCACCUGAGGAGACGAGAUGCGCUCGCACACACCCUACACACACACACACACACACACACACAGGAGUGUACAUGUGGAGUUCAGUGUGUGUGUGUGUGUGUGUGUGAUAGACUCACGGUCACUGCUGGGAUGCAGGCAGCGUCGCAGCAGUGCAGCAGAAACACACACACAGAGUCCAGUGUCUCCUGAGCUGAACACACACCGUCCUUCAGAGACGAGUCACACACACACGCCUCCACCAACCUACACACACACACACACACACACACACAAUGACAAAUAACAAUACAAAUAACUGACUGAACUUAAAAAAUACAUGAUGUAAUUAUAGUAUUCUUAGUAAAUAAUACAAAACAUAAUAAAAACAGAUNNNNNNNNNNNNNNNNNNNNNNNNNNN